rnacentral:rRNA from 1 species
GCUGGCGGCGUGCCUAACACAUGCAAGUCGAACGAGAAAGUCCCGCAAGGGAUGAGUAAAGUGGCGCACGGGUGAGUAACACGUAGGUAACCUACCUCUAAGACCGGGAUAACCUGUCGAAAGACGGGCUAAUACCAGAUAAGACCACAGUUCCUUCGGGAACAGGGAUCAAAGGUGGCCUCUGCUUGCAAGCUAUCACUUAGAGAUGGGCCUGCGCACCAUUAGCUAGUUGGUAGGGUAACGGCCUACCAAGGCAAAGAUGGUUAGCUGGUCUGAGAGGAUGAUCAGCCACACUGGAACUGAGACACGGUCCAGACUCCUACGGGAGGCAGCAGUGGGGAAUCUUGCGCAAUGGGCGAAAGCUUGACGCAGCAACGCCGCGUGGGUGAUGAAGGCCUUCGGGUCGUAAAGCCCUGUCGGAAGGAACGAAUUCUUCUGGGACG